rnacentral:rRNA from 1 species
CCUACGGGAGGCAGCAGUGGGGAAUUUUGCACAAUGGGGGAAACCCUGAUGCAGCGACGCCGCGUGAGUGAAGAAGUAUUUCGGUAUGUAAAGCUCUAUCAGCAGGGAAGAAAAUGACGGUACCUGAUUAAGAAGCCCCGGCUAACUACGUGCCAGCAGCCGCGGUAAUACGUAGGGGGCGAGCGUUCUCCGGAUUUACUGGGUGUAAAGGGCGCGUAGUCGGCAGCACAAUUCUGGAGUGAAAUGCGGGGCCUGAACCCCGGAACUGCUUUGGAAACUGUGCAGCUAGAGUGCAGGAGAGGUAAGUGGAAUUCCUAGUGUAGCGGUGAAAUGCGUAGAUAUUAGGAGGAACACCAGUGGCGAAGGCGGCUUACUGGACUGUAACUGACGUUGAGGCUCGAAAGCGUGGGGAGCAAACAGGAUUAGAUACCCGUGUAGUC